rnacentral:rRNA from 1 species
GACGAACGCUGGCGGCGUGCUUAACACAUGCAAGUGGAGCGACGAACCGGGGCUUGCCCCGGGGCAGAGCCGCGAACGGGUGAGUAACACGUGGGUAACCUGCCUCAAUGAUUGGGACAACCCGGGGAAACUCGGGCUAAUACCAAAUGUGUUCACUCCUUUUAAGGGGAGUGAGGAAAGGAAGCUUCGGCCUCCGCAUUGAGAUGGGCCCGCGGCCCAUUAGCUUGUUGGUGAGGUAACGGCUCACCAAGGCUUCGAUGGUAGCUGGUCUGAGAGGACGAUCAGCCACACUGGGACUGAGACACGGCCCAGACUCCUACGGAGGCAGCAGUGGGGAAUCUUGCACAAUGCGCGAAAGCGUGAUGCAGCAACGCCGCGUGGGGGAAGACGG